UGAUCAUCGAAACACCAUUGCUAGCAGUAAGGAAUAGGGCCUUCACUAUCUGGACAAGCUCACCAUUGAUCUGCUAUCAUUAUGGACAAGUGCGUUCCACAGGCGUUUGUAAUUGGAAAAUACCUUCAUGCAGCCGAAAAGGGUGACCUAGUGGAAAUAAAACGACUUAUGCGGAAUCGUAAAGAUUCAUGUCUUGACAUAGAUUCUACGGACGCUAGCGGGCGCUCUGCCCUGUACUUAGCCAUUCAGGGUGGACAUUUAGCUGUUCUUUAUUCACUCAUUGAGAAUGGAGUCAAGAUAAAGGACAACCUCUUGCGAGCUGUUGAAUUCAAUUUUCCAGAGGCGGUCAAAUUGCUCUGUG